rnacentral:lncRNA from 1 species
CACAAGGAGAUCAGCUGUCUCAAGCUCCCACCAGAGCUAGACAAGCUCUCGACACCACGUCUUCUCCGCUGUGAUGGACACCACCACAAAUGGGGAGCCAAACGUUCCCUUCUUCAGGUUGCUCUGCUGAAGCAUUUUGUUGUAACAAGAAAAGAAACUAAUGAGAAGAAUCCUGUUGCCGCGCGUUGUUCUUACUGGCGGGACAUUAGGCGCGCGACAAGUGGUGCCGAAACCCGGUAACCAACAUCGCCGGUGCCGAGGGGACCCUUCAGUGUGAUGAAGAGGAUUCAGAACUGCGAGAAGGUAAAUUAAAAGAAUCAAGAAAAUCCAAUUUGGGUACCUGAGCAUUUGACUCGAAAAUUGCCUUCUGCUCUUCCUGAAGAUGAGACUACGAACCCUACUAUUACUACUGGGAAUGGUAAUAUGGGUUAACUCGCUCACCCUGUGGGCUAUUGCCAGAUCCUGGCCAGUACCCAUGCCAGUUCAUAGCAAUUCUAUUGUUUUGAGAAUAAGACUGGCAAGCAUAAUCUCUGGCCUUGGUUUCAGUGGGUGCUGUCCAAUGAGCAAGGGUUAUAUACAUCCCUGACCCCCUUUGCUAGGUUGAUGGGAGAGAACUUCGUGCUGUAUAAUGUUUCAGCUACCAGAAAAAAUGACACCAGGUUGAUCAAUAUUCAAUAUAAUAACCUCUUGGUAAAUAAUACUGCCACUAGUACUUCAGUAUGUGCUAGAUCACUUUUUUUCUGAUAAGCACUAAUGUAAGCAGUGGUGCUUUAA